rnacentral:rRNA from 1 species
UUAGCUAGUUGGUAAGGUAAUGGCUUACCAAGGCAGUGAUACGUAGCCGACUUGAGAGGGUGAUCGGCCACACUGGGACUGAGACACGGCCCAGACUCCUACGGGAGGCAGCAGUAGGGAAUCUUCCACAAUGGGUGCGAACCUGAUGGAGCAAUGCCGCGUGAGUGAAGAAGGUCUUCGGAUCGUAAAGCUCUGUUGUUAGAGAAGAACACGUGCUAGGUAACUACUAGCGCCUUGACGGUAUCUAACCAGAAAGUCACGGCUAACUACGUGCCAG